GACGUAGGGCGCGAGCGUUGUCCGGAUUUAUUGGGCGUAAAGAGCUCGUAGGCGGCUUGUCGCGUCGUCCGUGAAAACCCACAGCUCAACUGUGGGCUUGCGGUCGAUACGGGCAGGCUAGAGUCCGGAAGGGGAGAGUGGAAUUCCUGGUGUAGCGGUGAAAUGCGCAGAUAUCAGGAAGAACACCCGUGGCGAAGGCGGCUCUCUGGUACGUGACUGACGCUGAGACGCGAAAGCGUGGGGAGCAAACAGG
rnacentral:rRNA from 1 species